rnacentral:rRNA from 1 species
UCCUCGGGAAACUGAGGGUAAUACCUGAUAGGAGAUGAUUUCUGGAAGGAGUUAUCUUUAAAACUCGAGCCUAAGGACGAGACUGCGGCUGAUUAGGUUGUUGGCGGGGUAAUGGCCCACCAAGCCAUUGAUCAGUAAGGGCUUUUAGCGAAGGGGCCCUGAGAAGGAAUCUUAGACACUAUUCCUAGCCCUACGGGGUGCAGCAGUUAGGGAUUUUUUGCAAUGCGCGCAAGCGUGACAAAGCGAAUCAGAGUGUUUCUCUCUAUGAGAAACUUUUGUAUGCUGUAAAAAGGCAUACGAAUAAGGACUGGGCAAGAUCGGUGCCAGCCGCCGCGGUAAUCCCGACGGUCCAAGUCGCAGCCACAAUUAUUGGGUCUAAAACAUCCGUAGCUUGCCUUGUAAGUCUUUUGUGAAAUCUGGCAUCUUAAGUGUCGGGCGAGCAAGAGAUACUGCAUGGCUAGAGACUGGAGGAUGCAAAGAGUACAGUCGAGGUAGUGGUAAAAUACGUUAAUCUUGAUUGGACUAACAACAGCGAAGGCACUUUGCAACGACAGAUCUGACAGUGAGGGAUGAAGGCUAGGGGCGCAAAAUGGAUUAGAUACCCAUGUAGUCCUAGCAGUAAACACUGCACACUAAACAUUAGUACCUCCUCGUGAGGUAUUGGUGCUGUAGCGAAGGCGAAGAGUGUGCUACCUGGGAAGUAUAGUCGCAAGGCCGAAACUUAA